GCCCAGGUGGCGUAACCGGCAGCCGCUCGGCGCUUAAACCGCCGUGCUGCGCAAGCAGCGUGUGGGUUCGACUCCCACCCUGGGCACCA
rnacentral:tRNA from 1 species